rnacentral:rRNA from 1 species
UACGUAGGUGGCAAGCGUUGUUCGGAUUUACUGGGCGUAAAGGGCGCGUAGGCGGCAAUUCAAGUCAUCUGUGAAAUCUCCGGGCUUAACUCGGAACGGUCAGAUGAUACUGCUUUGCUAGAGUGCGGAAGGGGCAAUCGGAAUUCUUGGUGUAGCGGUGAAAUGCGUAGAUAUCAAGAGGAACACCUGAGGUGAAGACGGGUUGCUGGGCCGACACUGACGCUGAGUGCGCGAAAGCCAGGGGAGCAAACGGG